UGCCACAGCCAUAUCACCCUGCAGCCCAAGACCGGUUACUCACUGAAGCUAAGCAGGUCUGAGCCUGAUCAGUACCUGGAUGGGAGACCACUAGGGAACACUAGGUUGCUGUUGGAA
rnacentral:rRNA from 1 species